UGGUAGGGAUGGGGUCUUGCUAUGUUGCCCAGGCUUGUCUGGAACUUCUGGUCUCUAGUGGUGGUCCUGCGUUGGCCUCUGAAAGUGCUGGGAUUACAGGUUUACCAAGCCCUCUUGGAGAAGCAGGUUCCUGUGGGAACCUGGUUAAAUCUCCCAAGCUAGCAGUGUUUUUACUACAAUAAGACAGUGAUUAAUUGUGUCCCACUGGGCACUGUCCUGAUAAGGCUUGGAAGUCUACAGUGGAAGAGUGAGGGAACUUUGGUCAGCUGCUUUUCCUCUCCUCAGCUCUCCUUCUCCCUCAUCCGUUUCUGCUUUUGGCCUCUUCAAAGCUGCAAGAGGGAAGGAGAAAAGGUUGUGAGGUGGCCCUGAGAGAGGGAAGCCAGCUGAGGACAUACUGAAGCAGUCUAUGGAGAGGCCACAUGGUAAGGAACUGAGGGUUCCCAGCAACCAUGGGAGUGAACUUGGGAGUAGAUCUUCUGAAGCAGCCAAAAGGCACACGAGUCAGCUUGGAAUUGGACCAUCUCUCAGUUGAGU